UUCCCAUCCCCUUAAGGGUCCCCCUGACCUUUGUGUUCCCUUCGGCCUUUGCCAGUGACUCGGGAGAAGUCCAUUCGGGGAGUCCGGGGCGUAGAGGUUCGUCCAGCUCCACGCCCACCCACUGGCCGCUGGCAAAUUCCGUGGUUCCACAGAACCGCAGUGUGCCCGUCUGGGGAGACAAGAAAGGAUACGGCUCAGAAAGGUUGCCUCGAACUUUUGAUUCUCCUGCCUCAGCCAGCCAAGUAGCUGGAAUUACAGCCAUGUGAGGUGAAGAAACUUUCCCAGAGAGCUGGGAUCACUGACUGGGAAGCAGCAAAGCUGAGAUGGACCUGGGCCAGUCGCUGACCCUAAGUGUGAAAACACUGUGAUGUGCUGCUUCCCUAAGGGGCAGGGAUAGGUAUCAGAGAUAGGUAUUACGUGUCUUCGGACAAAAGGCUUCUUCACCUCUCAGAGGUUCUUAUAGUCUUCUGGAGUAUAAAAUGGGAGGAGUCAACCACCCUUCUUUGAGAAUCAUCCAGUGGAUUUGAUUAGAUUUUGCACAAAGUUUUCCUGGAUUGGGGCUGACACAUGCAGAAUUCUUGAUUAGGAAACAAAAUGUGACUUGAAUGGUUUCUCACUGUGUAAAAAACAAAAUCCAAAUUCCUUCCAAUGGCCUGCAGGGCUGGUGUGAUCCAGUCCCUCUGAUCUCUCCACAACACAAUCAGAAACAACUCUCCAGUCACAGUGCCGCACUGCUGGGUCUUGGUACUUGUCCCUUCCAUAUCUGUGGAAGAUGAGCUCCUUCCUGUCUCAGCUUGGAAAUCACCUCCUCAGAGAAGGCUUCCCAGAACACUCCAGCUAAAACCACCCCUGCCUCCAGCACUCUGACCUGUACUGUCCUGGUCAAAGUCCUGACCACUCCAAAAGUGAGAUGGGCCUGACCGGAGACCUCGGGACCCUGGGGACCACGGGUGCACAGAGCUGUGCUGAUCACUCUGCUUAUGUUUUAGCCAUGACUACUCUAGGCUGUCACUGUCAGAGGAUGGAUCUGUUUCCCCUUUGGACCAAAAACUCAGCACAGGGUGGGGCACAAAGGAAGAACUCAUAGAACAAUUGUUAGAUGAAAUAAAGUACUUCGUGAGUGACUGUGCGAGGGUGGGCAGACAAAGGGGACAGUGUGUACGCAGUCCCAGGACCCAGCUGGGAUGAGGGGGCCGAGCCCCACCCUCUGCCCCACCCCAAUUCCUGACCUUCUGGCCAUCCAGCAGCACGCGGUCUCCUAGGCGCAGGCCCAGUGCACUGAGCAUGAGAUUGCCUGGGACGUUGUCAUAGUUGGGUAGCGUGACUUUAGGAAGAGCACAAGACAGUGGCACAGCCUCCUCCAGCAGCGUUCGCAGCUCCUUAGCCACCAGCGCUGCUUCUGCCUUGUCCAGGGACAUGUCCAUAGGGUCUGGGACUACUUCAGCUGGCACCUGUCCUUUUCGAUUCUGUAGACCAAUGGGAAGAGAGUGGCAGGGACUUAGUGGCAGCACUUCCAUGGAGGCCACAAAUCUG
rnacentral:lncRNA from 1 species